UACAGGACAGACGGAGUUGGGCUUCCAGGAUAGCAGGGACCGGCCAGGGUGAUUCCGCGCAUUGCGGUGAGCUCACCGUGUGCCCAAGGGCAGGAGCCACGGGCCAUAAGGAACUGUGCCUGGGCGGAGACCGUGUGCGAGAGCCGCCUCUCGCUGUCCUAGUAACUCGCCAGUCGGCGGCGUGAUGUCAAACUGUCUCAGUCUACAGCUCUUUUCGAGGUUGGAGUUGGGGGCAUGAGGAGCUCUACAAUCAGCCUCUGUUCCUUUGUCAGAGUGGGAUCAUCAAGCUCUCGGCAAGGCGCUUCUACACCGGCUCUAACAUUUUUCAUCCGAUAUGGCAGCGAUUUCUAAACCGAAAGGAAACCCUUUCUCCUUGCCCACCGUGUGAACUUCGGCCGCUACCGGACAAACUGCAAGAAUUAACAACUCGAGCUCAAAUUAAUUGAAAGAAUUAAAUUGGGGAAAAACUCCAAAAACAGUUUGCCAGAUUUUGAAUUCUGUCUUAUUGUGUGUCUUUAAAUGGGAUCGUCCAACUGGUGAAUUUUCAAAAUAACAGGAAUAAGUCCAUAUUUAUGAUAAAUUCUCUCAGAGACUCAGUGUCCCAUCCCCUUUUUUCUCCUGUGCAGCCAGACAGGUGAUGGGCGUAUCAGUCCGGUGCAGUGUUGACUCAUGGGUUUUUCAGUUUGGUCUGAUCUGAACAAAUAUGCAGAUCUACCGGCUGGUCUACUGCUGAUGCCAGAGAGAGAGGAAGAGAGAGAGAGGACGGCAAGGAAACGUACAAAUCCAAUGUGAAACAAGAAAAAAAAUCCUCACUCUAGUUACUUUUCCGAGGGAUGGUACUGAUUUUUUCUGCGAUAGGGGCGCCGCUGAAGCUCCUAAAUGAUCGAUUCUCGCUGCAGGACAAACUUAAAGUGAAACGAAAUGCGAGCCACGGUUUAUUUCAUUCUGGGCUUUUGCUACCUGACCUGUGCGCGUACAGAGGAAGCUGAAUUUCCCCCAGAAUUGCUUGAGAAGCUGGCACACAGUGAUAUUACCAGCAUCCGCGAUCUUCAGCGCCUCCUGGAGAUUGAAUCCGUAGGGGAUGAUGAUCACACAGAAUCUAAUUUAAGGUCUCACAGUAUUAAUGCAGUAAAACAUGAGUACACAAAGCGUUCAGCACCUGUACGCAGAAGGCGAAGUAUUGAAGAAGCUGUUCCUGCUGUGUGCAAAACAAGGACUGUCAUUUAUGAAAUACCUCGCAGUCAGAUAGAUCCCACCUCUGCCAACUUCCUGAUAUGGCCUGCUUGUGUGGAGGUCAGACGCUGCACAGGCUGUUGCAAUACUGGCAGUGUCAAAUGCCAGCCCUCCCGGAUACAUCAUCGAAGUGUCAAGGUUGCGAAAGUGGAGUAUAUAAGGCGCAAGCCCAGAUUAAAGGAGGUCAUAGUCAGGUUAGAAGAGCACCUGGAAUGUAUGUGCACAUUACUACAUUCUAAUUCAGAAUUCAGAGAACAUGAAGGGCCUUUCACCAGCCCAAAGCGCUUUAAAGGAAGAAAUAGUGAAAAAAUUAAAAAACGGAAGCGUAAAAAGUUAAUACUGGCACCUGACAAGGAUGUGUUUCCAACAUAAAAGCUCUGGGAUGCAUUCAGUUUGUAAGAGAUCCCCUGGUUAACAGUCAGGACAGAAGCGGAAAUAUGUGAGGUGAAAAUAAGCUACAUGAGGACUUACAGUGGGGGGCAUGCAUAUACAUCUCUUUUGCUCCAUGCCAAAAGCCUAUUGCCAAAGGUGCUUUUUUUCGACUGUUAUUUCCCUUUGCCCUCAAUAGAACUGUUUUCCCAGCAAAUUGAAAAUGGACAAAAAACUGUCUUAAUUCCAAGGCAAUCAGGAGGAAUAUUGUGGAAUGAGACUGCUCAGUGAAUUGACGGGAGGCAGCUUGAUAUUUUUAUAAAUAUGGAGAAAAAGAAAAGGCAUCCAAAUGGAUGGCAAGAAUGUCUAAAAUGCUGCUGAAAGGACAUGGUUUCAGGUGAAUGGAGAACAUAUAAUGAAGAACUUCUAAAAUGGUGCUGUUGAUUAGAAGGCUGUGUCUCCCUAAAGCCUCAACGGGACUUAACGCGAAUGAGAGGCAUGGACCGUUUGAGAAGCCUCUGCCAGUACGUUCUUUUCCAGAGCUUAUCCACAAGACUGUGGGGCAACCUUGCACAUUGCUCUUGUUUUCUUACGAACUACGCAGUUCCUUCAGAGGGGAUCGGGUGGGGAGCCUUGAAGAUGGAUGUUGAGUUUAUUCUCACACCAUUGAGUGUAUAUUAAGCUUGCUUCUACUGUAUUCUUUUUAAUGUUUUAUUAUUCUGUGGACUACUUGUAUAUUUUAUUGCAUUUAGGAGACUGCAGGUAUGACUUUCCAGCAUAUCAUUGAUUUAUUUUACUGGAAGAAUAUGAUCUUUAACCAAGCUGUUCAGAAAAUUGCAUUCUUCUAAAAAAAACUCAAAGUCUUUUUGGUUCAACAUGUUCCUUUCUUUCCCCUCUCCUCCUUUCUAAUUUAAAGCAUUUUAAGUAAAAUUAUUUUGCAUUAAUAAAUGAUACAAGAAGCCAGAAAUUAACAUUUCUGGUCCUGUACAGUCUGAAAAUGUUGUUUCUUUGCCUGUUAGUAAUAGCUCAAUUUUGUGAAUUCCACCUUUUUAAGGAAAAGUAUUUUCAAGCUUUUAUUUCACAUAUGUGAUUGUCUGAAAUGGUCAUGAGUGUCUAUUGCAAUGGGAACUAUAAAAGUAUGAACAGUGCGCUCUACAAGGAAAUCUGAUGUUCUACCAGAUAAUCUGAUCUCUUUUUAAAUAUGUGGUCACAACAAUAAUUAAACUUCUGAAUAUAUUCAAGAAA